AAUAGAUACCCCGGUAGUCCACGCCGUAAACGAUGAGUGCUAAGUGUUGGGGGGGUUUCCGCCCCUCAGUGCUGCAGCUAACGCAUUAAGCACUCCGCCUGGGGAGUACGGUCGCAAGACUGAAACUCAAAGGAAUUGACGGGGGGCCCGCACAAGCGGUGGAGCAUGUGGUUUAAUUCGAAGCAACGCGAAGAACCUUACCAGGUCUUGACAUCCCGGUGACCACUAUGGAGACAUAGUUUCCCCUUCGGGGGCAACGGUGACAGGUGGUGCAUGGUUGUCGUCAGCUCGUGUCGUGAGAUGUUGGGUUAAGUCCCGCAACGAGCGCAACCCUUAUUCUUAGUUGCCAUCAUUUAGUUGGGCACUCUAAGGAGACUGCCGGUGAUAAACCGGAGGAAGGUGGGGAUGACGUCAAAUCAUCAUGCCCCUUAUGACCUGGGCUACACACGUGCUACAAUGGACGGUACAAACGGUUGCCAACCCGCGAGGGGGGAGCUAAUCCGAUAAAACCGUUCUCAGUUCGGAUUGUAGGCUGCAACUCGCCUACAUGAAGACC
rnacentral:rRNA from 1 species